rnacentral:rRNA from 1 species
AUAGCCGACCUGAGAGGGUGAUCGGCCACAUUGGGACUGAGACACGGCCCAAACUCCUACGGGAGGCAGCAGUAGGGAAUCUUCGGCAAUGGACGAAAGUCUGACCGAGCAACGCCGCGUGAGUGAAGAAGGUUUUCGGAUCGUAAAACUCUGUUGUUAGAGAAGAACAAGGAUGAGAGUAACUGUUCAUCCCUUGACGGUAUCUAACCAGAAAGCCACGGCUAACUACGUGCCAGCAGCCGCGGUAAUACGUAGGUGGCAAGCGUUGUCCGGAUUUAUUGGGCGUAAAGCGAGCGCAGGCGGUUUCUUAAGUCUGAUGUGAAAGCCCCCGGCUCAACCGGGGAGGGUCAUUGGAAACUGGGAGACUUGAGUGCAGAAGAGGAGAGUGGAAUUCCAUGUGUAGCGGUGAAAUGCGUAGAUAUAUGGAGGAACACCAGUGGCGAAGGCGGCUCUCUGGUCUGUAACUGACGCUGAGGCUCGAAAGCGUGGGGAGCAAACAGGAUUAGAUACCCUGGUAGUCCACGCCGUAAACGAUGAGUGCUAAGUGUUGGAGGGUUUCCGCCCUUCAGUGCUGCAGCUAACGCAUUAAGCACUCCGCCUGGGGAGUACGACCGCAAGGUUGAAACUCAAAGGAAUUGACGGGGGCCCGCACAAGCGGUGGAGCAUGUGGUUUAAUUCGAAGCAACGCGAAGAACCUUACCAGGUCUUGACAUCCUUUGACCACUCUAGAGAUAGAGCUUCCCCUUCGGGGGCAAAGUGACAGGUGGUGCAUGGUUGUCGUCAGCUCGUGUCGUGAGAUGUUGGGUUAAGUCCCGCAACGAGCGCAACCCUUAUUGUUAGUUGCCAUCAUUUAGUUGGGCACUCUAGCAAGACUGCCGGUGACAAACCGGAGGAAGGUGGGGAUGACGUCAAAUCAUCAUGCCCCUUAUGACCUGGGCUACACACGUGCUACAAUGGGAAGUACAACGAGUCGCAAAGUCGCGAGGCUAAGCUAAUCUCUUAAAGCUUCUCUCAGUUCGGAUUGUAGGCUGCAACUCGCCUACAUGAAGCCGGAAUCGCUAGUAAUCGCGGAUCAGCACGCCGCGGUGAAUACGUUCCCGGGCCUUGUACACACCGCCCGUCACACCACGAGAGUUUGUAACACCCGAAGUCGGUGAGGUAACCUUUUGGAGCCAGCCGCCUAAGGUGGGAUAGAUGAUUGGGGUGAAGUCGUAACAAGGUAGCCGUAUCGGAAGGUGCGGCUGGAUCACCUCCUUUCUAAGGAA